rnacentral:tRNA from 1 species
UCUUUGGUAGUAUAGUGGUUAGUAUACUCGCUUGUCAUUGACAAACCGCGAGUGACCGGGGUUCAAUUCCCCGCCAGAGAG